rnacentral:lncRNA from 1 species
CCUGCACAGAGCUGUUUCUGCUACUGUCUUCACAUACAACAUAGGGCUUGGAGCAGUUGGUGCUUCUUUACAACACUUCUGAGGCCAUCUUUAGUCCCCAACUUCUAAUAGGUACUAGGGAGAAGAGAAUGUCUAGAAAUGGUUUUACAGCUCUAUGAAGAAUGAUAGAAAAUUCAAUUGCUACCCGAAGACUAGCAAGCUAAUAGCUGUGGCUUGUCAUCAAGCCCAUCAAUAAUAUCAGAUUUGGAAACAAGGAAGGACAAUGGUUCCUGGCUGAUGGAAGACACAUGCCUUAAAGAGCACAUCUUGCAAAAAAAAAAAAAAAAGUACUAGAGAAAAUAUCAU